rnacentral:RNase_P_RNA from 1 species
UUGGAAGGGCGGAGAAUCGCCUCGAGCGCAAGCUUGGGGAGGAAAGUCCGAACUCCGCAGGGCGCGAUGCCGCGUAACCCGGGCUCGUUCGGCCGGGAUACACGCGGGCGGUGACGGCGAAAGCCGACGCCGACGGACAGUGCCACAGAAAAUAAACCGCCCAGCCUUUCCUGAAGCUGCCGAGCGCUAAGUUAGAGACACGCCUUCAGAGUGUCGCCUCGCGCACGAGUUCGACAGUUUUGGGAAGGGCUGGGUAAGGGUGAAAUGGCGGGGUAAGAGCCCACCGCUCGGCGAGUGAUCGCCGGGGCACGGAAAACCCCAUCGGGAGCAAGGCCCAAUAGGAAACCCUGGAG